GGGUGAGGAAUACAUCGGAAUCUACCUUUUCGUGGGGGAUAACGUAGGGAAACUUACGCUAAUACCGCAUACGACCUACGGGUGAAAGUGGGGGACCGCAAGGCCUCACGCGAUUAGAUGAGCCGAUGUCCGAUUAGCUAGUUGGCGGGGUAAUGGCCCACCAAGGCGACGAUCGGUAGCUGGUCUGAGAGGAUGAUCAGCCACACUGGAACUGAGACACGGUCCAGACUCCUACGGGAGGCAGCAGUGGGGAAUAUUGGACAAUGGGCGCAAGCCUGAUCCAGCCAUACCGCGUGGGUGAAGAAGGCCUUCGGGUUGUAAAGCCCUUUUGUUGGGAAAGAAAUCCUAUCGGUUAAUAACCGGUGGGGAUGACGGUACCCAAAGAAUAAGCACCGGCUAACUUCGUGCCAGCAGCCGCGGUAAUACGAAGGGUGCAAGCGUUACUCGGAAUUACUGGGCGUAAAGCGUGCGUAGGUGGUGGUUUAAGUCUGCUGUGAAAGCCCUGGGCUCAACCUGGGAAUUGCAGUGGAUACUGGAUCACUAGAGUGUGGUAGAGGGAUGCGGAAUUUCUGGUGUAGCAGUGAAAUGCGUAGAGAUCAGAAGGAACAUCCGUGGCGAAGGCGGCAUCCUGGGCCAACAC
rnacentral:rRNA from 1 species